GCGGGAGUGGCUCAGUUGGUAGAGCAUCUCCUUGCCAAGGAGAAGGUCGCGGGUUCGAGUCCCGUCUUCCGCUCCA
rnacentral:tRNA from 1 species